rnacentral:misc_RNA from 1 species
CUUGCUGAGGAAUCUAAAGCAAGAGGUACUUCUGAAGAAAUGUUCUCAACUCUCCACCAGCUAUCAUCAGAAGCAGAGAAUGCACGACAAGAAGCUGAAGAAAUGAAGCACAAGGCGGAGGAGUUGAAGAAGGAAGCUGAAGCAACCAGGAUUGAACUUGAAGAAGCAGAGAAGAAGUUGAGGGUUGCUCUGGAAGAAGCUGAGGAAGCAAAAACAGCAGAGACAAGGGCGAUCGAUCAGAUCAAGGUGUUGUCUGAGAAAGCUAAUGCUGCACGUGCUUCAACUUCGGAGUCUGGUGCCAAGAUCACAAUCUCGAGAGAAGAGUACGAGUCUUUGAGCCGGAAAGUUGAGGAGUCUGACACAUUGGCAGAAAUGAAAGUGGCAGCUGCCUUGGCUCAGGUAGAAGCUGUAAAGGCUAGUGAAAAUGAGGCUCUCAAGAGGCUUGAGGUGAUGCAGAAGGAGAUUGGGGAUAUGAAGGUUGCAACUCAGGAGGCUUUGAAGAGGGCAGAGAUGGCUGAAGCAGCCAAGAGGGCAGUUGAGGGAGAACUUCGAAGGUGGCGUGAACGAGAGCAAAAGAAGGCAGCUGAAACUGCAUCAAGGAUUCUAGCAGAGACACAGAUG